rnacentral:rRNA from 1 species
GUCCACGCCCUAACGAUGUCAACUGGUUGUUGGACGGCUUGCUGUUCAGUAACGAAGCUAACGCGUGAAGUUGACCGCCUGGGGAGUACGGCCGCAAGGUUGAAACUCAAAGGAAUUGACGGGACCCGCACAAGCGGUGGAUGAUGUGGUUUAAUUCGAUGCAACGCGAAACCUUACCUACCCUUGACAUGUCUGGAAUCCUGCAGAGAUGUGGGAGUGCUCGAAAGAGAACCAGAACACAGGUGCUGCAUGGCCGUCGU